rnacentral:rRNA from 1 species
GAUGAACGCUGGCGGCGUGCCUAAUACAUGCAAGUCGAGCGAACGGACGAGAAGCUUGCUUUUCUGAUGUUAGCGGCGGACGGGUGAGUAACACGUGGAUAACCUACCUAUAAGACUGGGAUAACUUCGGGAAACCGGAGCUAAUACCGGAUAAUAUUUUGAACCGCAUGGUUCAAAAGUGGAAGACGGUCUUGCUGUCACUUAUAGAUGGAUCCGCGCUGCAUUAGCUAGUUGGUAAGGUAACGGCUUACCAGGGCAACGAUGCAUAGCCGACCUGAGAGGGUGAUCGGCCACACUGGAACUGAGACACGGUCCAGACUCCUACGGGAGGCAGCAGUAGGGAAUCUUCCGCAAUGGGCGAAAGCCUGACGGAGCAACGCCGCGUGAGUGAUGAAGGUCUUCGGAUCGUAAAACUCUGUUAUUAGGGAAGAACAUAUGUGUAAGUAACUGUGCACAUCUUGACGGUACCUAAUCAGAAAGCCACGGCUAACUACGUG